UCUGAAAACAAUUAUUGAAGAGUGUAUCCAAAUCCAAUUCCUGAGAAAAAUAAUAGGCCUGAAAGUGCAAGGGGAUAAGGUCAUUUUGGCAUCAAUAAUGUCAAUAUCCACUAUUCACAUAUUAAUUGAGGAUAAAGAACAAUAAAGCGCCCAUCCUCACAACUAGCUUCCACUAUCAUUUAUUUCUUCACCAACUGUUAUUGUACCAACUGCACUGCUGAAUUUUUUUCUUUAUAUUUAUAAAACGAAGAAAAAAGGACGAUCAUAAAGAUAUUGACAAGCUCUUCACGACUGAAAUGAUGGAAAUGGAACAGACAAGUGGAUGACAGAACACCUAUUUCUUUGAUAUAACAGAAGGGCAAUCAAGACUUCACAAGUUCAACUGUCCAUGUAUAACAGAAGGGCAAUCAAGACACCAAAGAUACUAAUGACAGUACAGUAUACAAGAGCAGAAGUGACAAACAAAUAAAAGUCCAGCGCAAUGGUUAUAUAAAUCUUGCUGUGUCUUAUUCUUAAGCUACCCUCCAAGACCCUUCCCUAUGUUUCCAAGGAAAUAAAAAUCCCAAGGAUCCCACUUCCCAUCAAACGUUCAGCACCAAUUACUGAUCAUUAACAGCAACAGGACCAGCUUUUUUCUAGCCAAGCUGUCAUAGAUCCAACAGUUCCACCCCACAGUUUUCCAGCUAGGAACUGCGAGGACAAAAAAGCACAAGCUGCCAACCAAAACCCCUACGGAGACAGGAGAAAACCUACGCUGGUCAAGCUCAGAGGUGGCUGACAGUCUGACACCUUUUCGAUGGAAUCCUCUAAUCUUGCAGUUGACAGUAAGAUUAGCAAGUUAAUAAUCAGACCAUUGGAGCAAAACAGUUCCUCGCUACCAAGUAAUUUGGGAACAAAUGCAACUUAAUUGGGAAUUUAGGAAGAAUUAAUAGAAGAAGAUGAUCUAAAUUUUUUUCUAGACGAAAGCAUAGCUUUUGCAGGUUCCCAUUGUAAUCGGGGGGAAGGGGGUGAGCUGAAACGGGAACAAACAGAUCGACAGACCGGUCAAUGCAAAUACUGCACGUUCAUAUUUUCUCCAAUGCGAAAUCCCCUCUUCCUCACGACGCGUUUGGCUCGACCUAACCAGCCCCCGACGAACCUACCUCACACACAUGGCCGAAUCCAGAUAAGUGGUCGCUGAAGGGGAAUCACGCGAAUCAAACCCACACCCAACGAAGCAGGAAAUACUGGCGCGAAGAUCAUCGAUACCUUUGGAGAGACAGAGGCCCGGAUCGGAGCCUCCUCCCGGUCGGCCUCCCUUCCCCGCGGCGAGUCACCUGAGCGGAGGCGGCAGUGGGAGAGGAAGGAGGAGGAGGUGGUGGCGGUGGUGGCGACGCAGGCAGCUGGGCUGGGCAGGCAAAGGCAGGCAGGCGGG
rnacentral:lncRNA from 1 species